rnacentral:rRNA from 1 species
UACGGGGGGGGCAAGCGUUGUUCGGAAUUACUGGGCGUAAAGGGCUCGUAGGUGGCCAACUAAGUCAGACGUGAAAUCCCUCGGCUCAACCGGGGAACUGCGUCUGAUACUGGCGGGCUUGAAUUCGGGAGAGGGAUGUGGAAUUCCAGGUGUAGCGGUGAAAUGCGUAGAUAUCUGGAGGAACACCGGUGGCGAAGGCGGCAUCCUGGACCGGUAUUGACACUGAGGCGCGAAAGCCAGGGGAGCAAACGGG